ensembl:lincRNA Gm26839 predicted gene, 26839
GGCUCCAGCCGAAUUCCCAGAAGGCAGAUGCUAGAAUCUGCAGCCCCGGCGGAAAGCACAAGCGUGGCCGGGAGGGUUGCUCCGUGCACCUGUGGUAUAGAGUGCGCUCACAGAAGCAGAGCCCCAGUCUACAGCAUGGCCACGUUUUAGUCUCUGUUGAGAAAUGUUGCUAGCAGGACCUGGACUGUUCGGAUUUCUCUGCUGAGGCUCCCAGCUCCAGGCUAAGUGAGUGCCUCAGUCAUCCAGGUUCAGAAAUUAAUCAUACAGAAAUGAUCAAAACUAGGCCCAAAGAUGUUUGUAUAUGAAACCACCAAAACAUUAUUUGCAGUACUGAAAAGUCAGAAACAUGGAUUUCCAGCAACUGAAUGGGUAAACCAAUGGUGGUCCUUCGAGCUUCAGAAAUAGCUCGUGGCUGUUACGUACAUGGGAGCGGGUUAGACAAAAUAAAACAGCAAACUGAACAGGCAAACCCUCAAUGGACAAAUGCCGAGAAGAGAGCACAGACGUUGGUUUGUUUCCUGCCUUCUCUCAGUAUACCCCAGGAAGUCUGCAGAGGAAUUAGAUACAAAUGAGAAAAAUAUAGAACCCAGAGGAUUGCAUGAUCAUUUUUCCCCCCUAACAUAUGAUUCCAAACUGUUCAUGCUAAGAGACUUGGAGAAGACCAGAGACUGCAUUCUGAGCUGUAAGUCUCUUUUGGAACCUUCCUAAGUGCACACUGUAUGAGCUUUGGAGAUACAGAUCGAGCAGGUCUACAGAAACGAAGGGGGUUCAUCAUUACCGUCCUCGACUUUCUUUUGGGAUAUAAUUAAAGUUUUGCACACUUUCCUAAAGUGUGUUCUUGGUC